rnacentral:sRNA from 19 species
GCGUUCUUCAAGCGAGCUUGGGAUAGUGGGAGCCAAGUAGGGCAAAAUAAAGGGCUGGCGCUUUCUGUAGUAUUUUCAAAAACAAUGAAGUAAUAAAUUAGGGUGGAACCGCGUUUCUGACG